ensembl:lincRNA Gm5103 predicted gene 5103
UGUAAUAUUAACGUUGUGCAGAAGUUCUCUGCUUCUUAUCAUGAAAGAUCAUUUUCAAAUGAAGUUCAUUUAUCGUGCCUACACAUUCCCUUCUAACAUAAUGCUUCAAGCUGACCCACGAAAGAGGUGGAUAUAAGAGAUCACAGAGUGUGUGCUUUUUGUUUACGUGAAAUAUCCAGAGACAACGAAACUGUUGCGGCUUAAAACCGAAAGGUGGCUGGAAGGGCCAGAGGCUCAGAAACUGGAGUUCAUGGUACGCGCUCUUGAGGGAUCUUACUGAGAGAUGAAAAUGUUCUAAAACCGGUUUACAGCGAUGGCUGCAUGUGUGAAACUGUGAACACAGAUGUAUAAAAGUCAUUGAAUCGUGCAACUGACAUGUGGACAUCAGAGGACAACAUUCAAGAGUUGGUUCCUUCCUUCUACUUGAGUUCGUGGCAUUGAACUUGGGUUGUCAGGCUUGAGCAACAAGUCCCUCGGCCUUCAGAACCACCUCGCCGUCCCUCAUGCAAGCCUAAUAUUAGAAUUGAGACUGAAGUCGGAAUACGCUCACCAAUUCAGUCAAUAAGUACAGUAUGGGCCUCUGAGACAGCUCAGCAGGUUCUUCUACAAUAGGGUGUUGGAAAGAGAAGUCUGCAUUUAAGGUUUGCUUUUUAAGAUGAGAGAACUUUUUUGUGGCUGAUCUAUGACACAGCUAUCAGAUGUGGGCGCUGGAAACUGAGUCCAGGUCCUCUCCAAGUGCUCUCAACCACUGAAGCACGUCUCCAGGCCCGGCUGCCAAGCCUGCUUGAUUGAAAGCAUGAGGAUAAAUGUCCCAGCUCUUGAUGACUGAGUCACAGAACCAACUCUGGAGACCCUCGUUGUGUGAUAACUACCUCUGUCCCUAAAUCAUUUUCAAUUAGUUGCUCUUCUUUACAGCAGAAACUAUCUCAGCUAAAACAGUGACCAAGAGCCAGGUGGACAUGUCUUUAAUCCCAGCACUCAGGAAGUGGAGCCUGGUCUACAGAGUGAGUUCCAGGACACCCAGGGUUACACAGAGAAAGCCUGUCUCCAAAACCAAAAUAAUUAAAACUUAAAACAGUGACAAAAA